rnacentral:rRNA from 1 species
AUGGAAAAGAGCCCUGGUUCUUGUGUGUCACCAAGAGAAUAUUAUUGUUAUAAGUUACAAAUUCGAGAUGGUGAUUUCAACGUCUUACUAUUCGGAAGGCGAUUAACUCAACAGUAUAUUGUUGAUAUGUACAUCAAGAUUGAGUCAAUAAGGCUGGCUUUCUAUUUACAACCGUCAACUCAAGUUCUCAUACGUGCAGAUUUAUAUCAAGGAUUGGUUGAUAGCGUUGUAGCUGGUGAGACACGUGCAUGCAUGACAGGAAAGCGUAUUGUGCUCCCCCCAAAAUUUAUUGGAGGACCAAGAGACAUGCGUCGAAGGUAUCUAGAUGCAAUGGCAUUGGUCCAGCGAUUUGGGAAGCCAGACUUAUUCAUUACAAUGACAUGCAACCCGCAGUGGGAAGAGAUAACUAGAGAGUUGGAACCAGGCCAAUCACCACAAGAUCGUCCAGAUUUGGUAGCACGAGUCUUCAAGGCAAAGUUGGAGGAUCUUAAAGAUCUUUUAUUCAAGAGAAAAUUAUUUGGUGAAGUCGCUGCACAUGUUCAUGUAAUAGAAUUUCAGAAGAGAGGCCUACCGCAUGCACACUUCUUAAUUAUUCUGAAGUCAAAUUGCAAGAUUACUAAUCCAGAUCAAUACGAUGAGAUAAUAUCAGCAGAGAUCCCAGAUAAAGACAAAUACCCUGUACUGCAUGCUUUAGUUAUUAAGCACAUGAUGCACGGACCAUGUGGAGUUCUCAACAGUAAGAAUGCUUGCAUGGAAAAUGGAAAUUGUAGAUACCAUUAUCCGCGGACAUUCUCAGAUACAACAUUACAAGGAAAGGACUCAUAUCCAAUUUAUAGACGGAGGGAUGAUGGUCGUCGAGUGCGCAUUAGGGGUGCGGUCUUGGAUAAUAGAUGGGUUGUUCCUUACAACCCAUAUCUACUUAUGCGAUACAAUUGCCAUAUCAAUAUAGAAGUUUGCUCUAGCAUUAAGGCUGUUAAAUAUUUAUUUAAGUACAUAUACAAAGGUCAUGAUCGCGCCUCCUUUGUCAUUGAGUCCAGAGGAGAUAAUGUUGUUAUAGAUGAGAUUCGUGAAUAUAGGGAUGCAAGGUUUAUAUCACCUCCAGAGGCAAUAUGGAGGAUUUAUUCUUUCAAUCUAAGUGAGAUGUCACCUCCAGUUUUGCAGUUGCAGGUCCAUUUGCCAAAUAUGCAUCUUGUGCAUUAUGAAGACUCCGAUAAUUUGGAUAAUGUUUUACGCAGAGAAUCAUCUUCAAAAACAAUGCUUAGUGAAUAUUUUAGAAUGAAUUCUGUUGACAUUUACGCGAGAAAUUUCUUGUAUAAGGAGUUUCCAGAAUAUUUUGUGUGGGACAGCAGUUGCAAAAGUUGGAGACGUCGCAAACAGAAACGAAUUCAGAUUGGGAGACUUGUGUCUGCGCACCCUGCUGAAGGAGAGCGUUAUUACUUGAGGAUCCUACUAAACCACGUGAGGGGAGCCAAAUCAUUUGAGGAUCUACGAACUAUUGAAGGUACUAUUUUCUCGACUUUUAGAGAGGCUGCACAGAGAAGGGGUCUCAUUGAAGAUGAUCGUAGUAUUUCAGAUUGUCUCAGCGAGGCUGCGACAUUUCAAAUGCCCUCUGCACUUAGAAGACUUUUUGCAACAAUUUUAGUUUUCUGUGAGGUAACAAAUGUCCGUGAACUGUGGGACAAGCAUUUAGAAGCCAUGUGUGAUGAUUUUCGAAGAGAAAAUGUAAAUGUUGAAGUAGCUGAGCGAAUGGUGCUUAAAGAUCUUAGAAGUUUGUUAUAUUCAAUGGGGAAGGACAUAAAUAACUUUGGCUUGCCAUGCUUACUAGAUAACAAUGAUUUAGAGAGCUUAAGUUGGAGAGAAGUGUGUGAUGAGAUGUCUAUUGAGGUUGAGCAGGAACACUUAGAUUUGUAUGACAAACUAAAUAGUGAGCAGCGACUUGCUUUUGAUGAGAUAAUGACUCAUGUCUUGCACCAGAAGAGUAUGGUUUUUUUCAUAGAUGGUCCGGGAGGUACAGGGAAAACAUACCUUUAUAAGGCUUUGCUCGCAAAGGUGCGGUCAAUGGGACUAAUAGCUAUCGUAACAGCAACCUCUGGAAUUGCUGCAUCUAUCAUGUCUGGCGGUAGAACAGCUCAUUCCAGAUUCAAAAUUCCAAUUAAUAUUCAGGAUGACAGCAUGUGCAACUUCAGUAAACAAAGUGGAACUGCAGAAUUACUUCGGAGGUCGUCUUUAAUAAUUUGGGACGAAGUUGCUAUGACAAAGCGUCAAGCUGUGGAGGCACUUGAUAGAUCUCUGCAAGAUAUCACCAGUUGUGGAUCACCAUUUGGAGGGAAAGUAGUAGUGUUUGGAGGUGAUUUUAGACAGGUUCUUCCGGUGGUGAGGCAUGGCACUAGAGCACAAAUUACAGAUGCUACACUAAAAAAGUCUUAUCUUUGGCCAGACAUAAGACAUAUCAAACUAUGGCGCAAUAUGAGGGCAUUGUUUGAUCCAUGGUUCUCUGAUUUUCUCCUUAGAAUUGGUAAUGGUACAGAGGAAUCAAUUGGUCAAGAUUAUGUGCGCCUGCCUGAAGAAAUUGUUAUAGGUUACACAGAUGUAAAGGCCUCUGUUGGUAAGUUAAUUGAUGAAAUCUUCCCUUUAAUGGACAAAAAUGGAAACUCGCCAUCUUAUAUUAGUGCACGUGCCAUUCUUUCCACAAAGAAUGAAUAUGUGGAUGAGUUAAAUGAAAUGCUUAUUGAUCGAUUUCCUGGAGAAGAAAAGGUCUAUUACAGUUUUGACUCGGUGGUUGAUGAUCCACAUAAUCACUAUCAACCUGAGUUCCUAAAUUCACUCACACCUAAUGGCCUACCUCCGCAUAUUCUCAGAUUGAAGAUCAACUGCCCUGUUAUUUUGAUUCGCAAUCUUGAUCCUUCUAAUGGUUUAUGCAACGGUACAAGGCUUAUUAUUAAGGCAUUUCAAGAUAAUGCUAUUGAUGCAGAAAUUAUUGGCGGACAAUAUGCUGGGAAGCGAGUGUUCCUUCCACGAAUUCCUCUCUAUCCUUCAGAGGAUGAUGCUCUCCCCUUCAAGUUUAAAAGAAAACAAUUUCCAAUUCGGCUUAGUUUUGCCAUGACAAUCAACAAAGCCCAGGGUCAAACCAUCCCAAAUGUUGGCAUAUAUCUUCCUGAGCCGGUGUUUUCUCAUGGCCAACUCUAUGUUGCUUUGUCUAGAGGGACAUCAAGACAAACAACUAGAAUACUUGCAAGGCCAAAUAAGGAUAUUGACCCAUCAGGGAAAAGCACAAAAAAUAUUGUCUACAGGGAUGUUUUGGUAUAA